GCCUGUUUCUCUGCUGGAGGUUAUGUGUGAGGGCAGAGGCUCUGGGACAGACAGCCCCACCAGGAAGCUGGAGAGAGGCCUAGAGCUGCCAUGUGAGCAGUGUGAUGACCACAAGCAGCCUGAAACAUGCCAAUGUCACCCAAGGGAUCACAGAAUCAAAAAGGCUGGAAAAGACCUCUAAGAUCAUUGAGUCCAACUAGAUGGGUGUGAGGAAGUGGAAUAAGCUUCAUUACACUGUUAUGUGACAGAGGAGAUUCUAGGAGUUAAUGAAAAUACUGUGGAAAAAGAAGUGUGCACAGAAACACUUUGAUUUGAUUAUAAUAAAAAAUUUAUUUUGAUUCAUAUCAUACUGAAAAAUUAAAUAAAUAAAUUGUCAACAAAUGAUUGUGUCAGACUCCCACCAUAAGGGAAAAAAAAUCAUAAUUGAUCAUGUAGUCAGAGAAAAGUACAAAGAAAACCUGGACAUGGGAGGAAAAAAGUGCACAAGAGAUUUGGCUUUGGUAAAAAACAUAACACACACUCAAGGAGUGCUUCAGAGAUUUUGCAGUGGUGGCAAAUACAGUCCAAGAGUUUGAAGCCUUGACAUGUUGUUAAAUGUUUUCCUUGGUUCUUUUAAAUUAAAUAAACCCAAAAAGUUUCUAGUAGGAAAACAGUCUUCAAUAAUGCCAGUAGGAAUUAAUUCUUCCCUCAGCAUCAUCUGUUUGUAUCUCCUGAUUCUGAAGGCAAUUGAAAGAGCAGCAAAAUUGUGGAGAAACUGAGACAAGAAUCUAACACAACAGUCAGUUGCCUAAAUGACUCUAGAAAAAGUUCCCCUGGAACAGAAACGUGAUGGCACAGACUAUUCCUCAUCCUACACCUGGAGAGAUCCACUCUCUGCCCUCCUUACACUCUGAAAAAUGAACAUCAGGGGUACACAGUUACUGCUUGCUGUUGGCAACAAAAUUAAAUGGGAAUUGCAGCUUGUUCCAUGAUGAAGACAUUAAAUCUAUCUGCAUGUAUGAGCCAUGAGGUUUUAUAUGUGCUGUCAGAAGCAGAAUGUUCAGGGGGAAAAUAGAAAUUUUAUUAGAACAGAAAAAUGAAACCUUCAAACAACACUGGCUAGAAUAUAGCUGGCUUCUUUUUCCACUGUUUUUUGAUUCUAAAUUGACCUCUGUGAUAAAAAAAAAAAACAAAACAAA